rnacentral:misc_RNA from 1 species
CGACCAUCCAUUCAUUCUCUUCCCAUUUCCAAUGUUCUUCCUUUAUUCAUCAUUUCUCUUUCUCUUAAAUCCUUCUACAUACAACUCCAUCCAAUCUUUCCUCUCACUUUGAAUUUUCACCACUAAAGGGUAUCAUUACCAUCACAAGAACGAAGAAGGGUAAUAAUUGAAGAUAAUCAAAGAAGAAGAAUAAGGGAAUGAGAUGGGAGGUUUCGCUAAGAAGAGGGUCUGAAGGCUUUUUUCUCUCUCUACUUUUUCUCCAUUUUUAUGGUCUUAGAAAUUGUUUAGGGUUAUUUUGAUUAAAAAAACAUGAAGUUUUCAAGGAGAAAGGGAAGGGCUUUAGCUUUGACCAAGCUAGGAUUUG